AGCGAGAGAACUGUUGUUAAGGAACUCGGCAAAAUGACCCCGUAACUUAGGGAUAAGGGGUGCCACCAUCAGGUGGCCGCAGAGAAUAGGCCCAAGCGACUGUUUACCAAAAACAUAGGUUUCUGCUAAGUCGCAAGACGAUGUAUAGGAGCUGACGCCUGCCCGGUGCUGGAAGGUUAAGGGGAUCUGUUAGAGCAAUCGAAGCAGUGAACUUAAGCCCCAGUAAACGGCGGCCGUAACUAUAACGGUCCUAAGGUAGCGAAAUUCCUUGUCGGGUAAGUUCCGACCCGCACGAAAGGCGUAACGAUUUGGGCACUGUCUCAACAACAGACUCGGUGAAAUUGUAAUUCCGGUGAAGAUGCCGGAUACCUGCGACAGGACGGAAAGACCCCAUGGAGCUUUACUGUAGCUUGACAUUGGGUCUUGGUACUACAUGUACAGGAUAGGUGGGAGGCUUUGAAACCAGGACGCCAGUUUUGGCGGAGCCAUCCUUGGGAUACCACCCUUGUAGUACUGGGACUCUAACCAUAGGCCAUGAAUCUGGUCUUGGGACACUGUCAGGUGGGCAGUUUGACUGGGGCGGUCGCCUCCCAAAAGGUAACGGAGGCGCUCAAAGGUUCUCUCAGUACGGUCGGAAAUCGUACGUAGAGUGUAAAGGCAAAAGAGAGCUUGAUUGCAAGACAUACAGGUCGAGCAAGGAUGAAAAUCGGACUUAGUGAUCCGGUGGUUCUGCGUGGAAGGGCCAUCGCUCAACGGAUAAAAGCUACCCUGGGGAUAACAGGCUUAUCUCCCCCAAGAGUCCACAUCGACGGGGAGGUUUGGCACCUCGAUGUCGGCUCAUCACAUCCUGGGGCUGUAGUAGGUCCCAAGGGUUGGGCUGUUCGCCCAUUAAAGUGGUACGCGAGCUGGGUUCAGAACGUCGUGAGACAGUUCGGUCCCUAUCCGUCGCAGGCGUAGGAAAUUUGAGAAGACCUGUCCUUAGUACGAGAGGACCGGGAUGGACGUACCUCUGGUGUACCAGUUGUCCUGCCAAGGGCAUGGCUGGGUAGCUAUGUACGGAAUGGAUAAGCGCUGAAAGCAUCUAAGCGCGAAGCCAACUUCAAGAUAAGAUUUCCCACCGCAAGGGUAAGACCCCAGAAAGACUAUCUGGUUGAUAGGUCGAAGGUGUAAGUGCAGCAAUGUAUUUAGCUUAUCGAUACUAAUAGGUCGAGGACUUGACCAAU
rnacentral:rRNA from 1 species